CCUCAUACCGGACAGGGUAUUGAGGUUUAUAGUUUUGGUGCCCAUACCGGACGAAGUAUGGGGAUGGCCCUGGAAUUAAGUUAUUAAUCUGAAUGGUUCACGUGUAGCGGGGACCCCUUAUGGAUCCCCAUGGAUACUAGUAGGCUGAUAAAAGAGGAAAUUUGUUGUCUGAUGAUUGAAAUACAAAAGUAUGAUAUGUGUUAUG
rnacentral:lncRNA from 1 species